rnacentral:rRNA from 1 species
AGUGAACGCUGGCGGUAGGCCUAACACAUGCAAGUCGAACGGCAGCACAGUAAGAGCUUGCUCUUACGGGUGGCGAGUGGCGGACGGGUGAGGAAUACAUCGGAAUCUACUUUUUCGUGGGGGAUAACGUAGGGAAACUUACGCUAAUACCGCAUACGACCUACGGGUGAAAGCAGGGGAUCUUCGGACCUUGCGCGAUUGAGUGAGCCGAUGUCGGAUUAGCUAGUUGGCGGGGUAAAGGCUCACCAAGGCGACGAUCCGUAGCUGGUCUGAGAGGAUGAUCAGCCACACUGGAACUGAGACACGGUCCAGACUCCUACGGGAGGCAGCAGUGGGGAAUAUUGGACAAUGGGCGCAAGCCUGAUCCAGCCAUACCGCGUGGGUGAAGAAGGCCUUCGGGUUGUAAAGCCCUUUUGUUGGGAAAGAAAAGCAGCAGGUUAAUACCCCGCUGUUCUGACGGUACCCAAAGAAUAAGCACCGGCUAACUUCGUG